rnacentral:rRNA from 1 species
CCAGAGAUGGAUUGGUGCCUUCGGGAACUCUGAGACAGGUGCUGCAUGGCUGUCGUCAGCUCGUGUUGUGAAAUGUUGGGUUAAGUCCCGCAACGAGCGCAACCCUUAUCCUUUGUUGCCAGCGGUUCGGCCGGGAACUCAAAGGAGACUGCCAGUGAUAAACUGGAGGAAGGUGGGGAUGACGUCAAGUCAUCAUGGCCCUUACGAGUAGGGCUACACACGUGCUACAAUGGCGCAUACAAAGAGAAGCGACC